rnacentral:rRNA from 1 species
UACGAGGGGGGCAAAUGUUGUUCGGAAUCACUGGGCGUAAAGGGCGCGUAGGCGGGUUCUUAAGUUAGGUGUUUAAUCCCGGGGCCCAACCCCGGACCGGCACUUAAAACUGGGAAUCUUGAAUAGUGGAGAGGUCGGUGGAAUUGGGGGUGUAGCGGUGGAAUGCGUAGAGAUCCCCAAGAACACCAGUUGCGAAGGCGGCCGACUGGACACAUAUUGACGCUGAGGCUCGAAAGCAUGGGGAGCAAACAGG